rnacentral:rRNA from 1 species
GACGAAGGGGGCUAGCGUUGUUCGGAAUUACUGGGCGUAAAGCGAGUGUAGGCGGUUGGCCAAGUCAGGGGGGAAAGCCUUGAGCUCAACUCAAGAAAUGCACUUGGUACUGGGUGGCUAGAGGACCGGAGAGGAUAGUGGAAUUCCCAGUGUAGUGGUGAAAUACGUAGAGAUUGGGAAGAACACCAGUGGCGAAGGCGGCUAUCUGGACGGUUACUGACGCUAAGACUCGAAAGCGUGGGGAGCAAACAGG